rnacentral:rRNA from 1 species
AACGAACGCUGGCGGCGUGCCUAACACAUGCAAGUCGAACGUGAUUGAAGAGCUUGCUCUUCAUGAAAGUGGCGCACGGGUGAGUAACGCGUAGAUAAUCUACCUGGUGAUUUGGGAUAACAGUUCGAAAGGACUGCUAAUACCGAAUAAGCCCACGGAGUCUUUGGAUUCUGCGGGAAAAGGGGGGGACCUUAUGGCCUUCCGUCAUCAGAUGAGUCUGCGUACCAUUAGCUAGUUGGUAGGGUAAAGGCCUACCAAGGCGACGAUGGUUAGCGGGUCUGAGAGGAUGAUCAGCCACACUGGAACUGAGACACGGUCCAGACUCCUACGGGAGGCAGCAGUGGGGAAUUUUGCGCAAUGGGGGAAACCCUGACGCAGCAACGCCGCGUGAGUGAGGAAGGCCCUUGGGUCGUAAAGCUCUGACAGAGGGAAAGAAAUGCAGGGGAGCUAAUAUCUCCUUUGCUUGACGGUACCCUCAAAGGAAGCACCGGCUAACUCCGUGCCAGCAGCCGCCGUAACAC